GGGGGCCCUUUGGAGCCGGCUGGAGCUGGCUCUGAUCUGACCUGGGGCAGCUCUUGGGCUCUGCUCACAGAGGCCACCCCUGCAGCCCGUCUUUGAAUUUGGGCAUAAGGAGCAUCUGUGGCCCAUAAAUUCAGGACUGGUGUUUUAAACGUUCUUGACUCUGUCUCUGGAGCGUGAGAUCGCUACUCACUGUUGCAGAGGUGAAUGAAAAAAAAAAAAAGUCCUGUCUGCCUCAAGAGGCCUCAUCUCUAAUGAGCUGCCGGACCUCAAGGCUCCUGAUUUACCUGCAUCAAACUGCAUCCUUCUCCCAAGCAGCACCUGCUGCCAGGCCAUCCCUGUGGGUUCUCCCUCACUGCCCCACAGCUUCCCCAGCCCCUCUCUGUCCAGUCAAGAAGUGACAGCCAGGCCUUGGGCUGCUGGCACAGCACACUUGUGCCCUGCUAGCUCUGCAGGCCUGCAAAGGUAGCGUCUGCUGGGUGGCCUGCAGCAAGCACGCUGCUCCUGGGCCUGCCGGCUCCUGGUGGAUAACUGGGGACCUGCCCGCACACUGUGCUCCUGGCCUUUAACACCUUCACGUCAUUGCCUUAUAUGAGCUUGUUGCCCGGUCAGUGGAGCUGCUACAAUUUGGACUUCAGAAGCAACCCCUACCAGGAUUAGCACUGGGGAAAG